GUGGGGAAUAUUGGACAAUGGGCGAAAGCCUGAUCCAGCCAUGCCGCGUGUGUGAAGAAGGUCUUCGGAUUGUAAAGCACUUUAAGUUGGGAGGAAGGGUAGUAACCUAAUACGUUGCUACUUUGACGUUACCGACAGAAUAAGCACCGGCUAACUUCGUGCCAGCAGCCGCGGUAAUACGAAGGGUGCAAGCGUUAAUCGGAAUUACUGGGCGUAAAGCGCGCGUAGGUGGUUCAGUAAGUUGGAAGUGAAAUCCCCGGGCUCAACCUGGGAACUGCUUUCAAAACUGCUGAGCUAGAGUACGGUAGAGGGUGGUGGAAUUUCCUGUGUAGCGGUGAAAUGCGUAGAUAUAGGAAGGAACACCAGUGGCGAAGGCGACCACCUGGACUGAUACUGACACUGAGGUGCGAAAGCGUGGGGAGCAAACAGGAUUAGAACCCUUGUAGUCC
rnacentral:rRNA from 1 species